AACGAACGCUGGCGGCAUGCCUAACACAUGCAAGUCGAACGAGACCUUCGGGUCUAGUGGCGCACGGGUGCGUAACGCGUGGGAACCUGCCCUUAGGUUCGGAAUAACUCCCCGAAAGGGGUGCUAAUACCGGAUAAUGUCUUCGGACCAAAGUUUUAUCGCCUUUGGAUGGGCCCGCGUUGGAUUAGCUAGUUGGUAGGGUAAAAGCCUACCAAGGCGACGAUCCAUAGCUGGUCUGAGAGGAUGAUCAGCCACACUGGGACUGAGACACGGCCCAGACUCCUACGGGAGGCAGCAGUGGGGAAUAUUGGACAAGGGGCGAAAGCCUGAUCCAGCAAUGCCGCGUGAGUGAUGAAGGCCUUAGGGUUGUAAAGCUCUUUUACCCGGGAUGAUAAUGACAGUACCGGGAGAAUAAGCUCCGGCUAACUCCGUG
rnacentral:rRNA from 1 species